UACGUAGGGGGCAAGCGUUGUCCGGAAUCAUUGGGCGUAAAGCGCGUGUAGGCGGCUGAGUAAGUCUGCUCUGAAAGCCCGGGGCUCAACCCCGGGAGGCGGGUGGAUACUGCUCAGCUCGAGUCCGGAAGAGGAGUGUGGAAUUCCUGGUGUAGCGGUGAAAUGCGCAGAUAUCAGGAGGAACACCAAUGGCGAAGGCAGCACUCUGGGACGGUACUGACGCUGAGACGCGAAAGCGUGGGGAGCGAACAGG
rnacentral:rRNA from 1 species